rnacentral:rRNA from 1 species
GUCAGAGGUGAAAUUCUUGGAUUUAUGAAAGAUUAACUUCUGCGAAAGCAUCUGCCAAGGAUGUUUUCAUUAAUCAAGAACGAAAGUUAGGGGAUCGAAGACAAUCCCACUCCGUCGUACUCUUAACCAUAAACGAUGCCCACCAGCCGUUAAGAAACGUUGAAUACAAAAAGGCACCGUCGGCACUGUAGUACCCGGUUCGACGUCAUCC